rnacentral:rRNA from 1 species
GAUGAACGCUAGCGGGAGGCCUAAUACAUGCAAGUCGAACGGUAACAGGUAGCAAUACGCUGACGAGUGGCGCACGGGUGAGUAACACGUACACAACCUGCCUUAUACUGGAGCAUAGCCUCGGGAAACUGAGAAUAAUUCUCCAUAACGUUAUGAAUCGGCAUCGUUUUAUAACUAAAGUUCCGACGGUAUAAGAUGGGUGUGCGUCUGAUUAGCUAGUUGGUGGGGUAACGGCUCACCAAGGCGACGAUCAAUAACUGGUCUGAGAGGAUGAUCAGUCACACGGGCACUGAGACACGGGCCCGACUCCUACGGGAGGCAGCAGUAGGGAAUAUUGGACAAUGGGCGCAAGCCUGAUCCAGCCAUCCCGCGUGAAGGAUUAAGGCCCUAUGGGUUGUAAACUUCUUUUCUCUGGGAAUAAAAACUGGGAUUCUUCUUAGCUUGAAGGUACCAGAGGAAUAAGCACCGGCUAACUCCGUGCCAGCCGCCGCGGUAAGAC